rnacentral:lncRNA from 1 species
AAAGUCACCUCUUGACGAGAGCAUUUUACCUCUACAAUGGAUUGACGCGAAUCUAGAAUAGUCGGAUCUUAAAGCGAAUACCGAAAUAAAAAAUAAUGAGUAAAAAAAUGUACAUUAGUAGGGAUAUUUGUAGCUAGUUAAUUAUUAUUUUUUCCUUGAUUUUUGAAUUUUGAUAAUUUAAAGUAAAAAGUUUGUGUAGUAGAGGUAGAAUCUGAAGAAAAAAUAUGGCUAUAAAAGUUUUUGCCCUC